AGUUGUAGUCUCGAGAAGUGUUUUCCGCGCUGGACCAUGUAUGAGUCUGUUGGAAUACAGCGUCAUAGAGGGUGAGAACCCCGUUCAUGACAUGCCUUCCAGUGCUUUGUGAUACACUUUCGAUGAGUCGAGUUGUUUGGGAAUGCAGCUCAAAAUGGGUGGUAAAUUCCAUCUAAAGCUAAAUAUUGGGGAGAGACCGAUAGCAAACAAGUACCGUGAGGGAAAGAUGAAAAGCACUUUGGAAAGAGAGUUAACAGUACGUGAAAUUGUCGAAAGGGAAACGCUUGAAGUCAGACGUGCGUAGUGCCUUCGGGUGCUGUUGCAGGCCAGCAUCAGUUUUUCGAGCCGGAUAAAGGUGGGAGGAAGGUAGCAGUCUCGGCUGUGUUAUAGCCUCCCACUGAAUACGGAUUGUGAGACUGAGGAAUGCGAUUCUAGGAUGCUGGUGAAAUGGCUUUAAACGAC
rnacentral:rRNA from 1 species